rnacentral:rRNA from 1 species
GGUUAAGCGACUAAGCGUACACGGUGGAUGCCCUGGCAGUCAGAGGCGAUGAAGGACGUGCUAAUCUGCGAUAAGCGUCGGUAAGGUGAUAUGAACCGUUAUAACCGGCGAUUUCCGAAUGGGGAAACCCAGUGUGUUUCGACACACUAUCAUUAACUGAAUCCAUAGGUUAAUGAGGCGAACCGGGGGAACUGAAACAUCUAAGUACCCCGAGGAAAAGAAAUCAACCGAGAUUCCCCCAGUAGCGGCGAGCGAACGGGGAGCAGCCCAGAGCCUGAAUCAGUGUGUGUGUUAGUGGAAGCGUCUGGAAAGGCGCGCGAUACAGGGUGACAGCCCCGUACACAAAAAUGCACAUGCUGUGAGCUCGAUGAGUAGGGCGGGACACGUGGUAUCCUGUCUGAAUAUGGGGGGACCAUCCUCCAAGGCUAAAUACUCCUGACUGACCGAUAGUGAACCAGUACCGUGAGGGAAAGGCGAAAAGAACCCCGGCGAGGGGAGUGAAAAAGAACCUGAAACCGUGUACGUACAAGCAGUGGGAGCACAGAGCAAUCUGUGUGACUGCGUACCUUUUGUAUAAUGGGUCAGCGACUUAUAUUCUGUAGCAAGGUUAACCGAAUAGGGGAGCCGAAGGGAAACCGAGUCUUAACUGGGCGUUAAGUUGCAGGGUAUAGACCCGAAACCCGGUGAUCUAGCCAUGGGCAGGUUGAAGGUUGGGUAACACUAACUGGAGGACCGAACCGACUAAUGUUGAAAAAUUAGCGGAUGACUUGUGGCUGGGGGUGAAAGGCCAAUCAAACCGGGAGAUAGCUGGUUCUCCCCGAAAGCUAUUUAGGUAGCGCCUCGUGAAUUCAUCUCCGGGGGUAGAGCACUGUUUCGGCAAGGGGGUCAUCCCGACUUACCAACCCGAUGCAAACUGCGAAUACCGGAGAAUGUUAUCACGGGAGACACACGGCGGGUGCUAACGUCCGUCGUGAAGAGGGAAACAACCCAGACCGCCAGCUAAGGUCCCAAAGUCAUGGUUAAGUGGGAAACGAUGUGGGAAGGCCCAGACAGCCAGGAUGUUGGCUUAGAAGCAGCCAUCAUUUAAAGAAAGCGUAAUAGCUCACUGGUCGAGUCGGCCUGCGCGGAAGAUGUAACGGGGCUAAACCAUGCACCGAAGCUGCGGCAGCGACGCUUAUGCGUUGUUGGGUAGGGGAGCGUUCUGUAAGCCUGUGAAGGUGUGCUGUGAGGCAUGCUGGAGGUAUCAGAAGUGCGAAUGCUGACAUAAGUAACGAUAAAGCGGGUGAAAAGCCCGCUCGCCGGAAGACCAAGGGUUCCUGUCCAACGUUAAUCGGGGCAGGGUGAGUCGACCCCUAAGGCGAGGCCGAAAGGCGUAGUCGAUGGGAAACAGGUUAAUAUUCCUGUACUUGGUGUUACUGCGAAGGGGGGACGGAGAAGGCUAUGUUGGCCGGGCGACGGUUGUCCCGGUUUAAGCGUGUAGGCUGGUUUUCCAGGCAAAUCCGGAAAAUCAAGGCUGAGGCGUGAUGACGAGGCACUACGGUGCUGAAGCAACAAAUGCCCUGCUUCCAGGAAAAGCCUCUAAGCAUCAGGUAACAUCAAAUCGUACCCCAAACCGACACAGGUGGUCAGGUAGAGAAUACCAAGGCGCUUGAGAGAACUCGGGUGAAGGAACUAGGCAAAAUGGUGCCGUAACUUCGGGAGAAGGCACGCUGAUAUGUAGGUGAAGUCCCUCGCGGAUGGAGCUGAAAUCAGUCGAAGAUACCAGCUGGCUGCAACUGUUUAUUAAAAACACAGCACUGUGCAAACACGAAAGUGGACGUAUACGGUGUGACGCCUGCCCGGUGCCGGAAGGUUAAUUGAUGGGGUUAGCGGUAACGCGAAGCUCUUGAUCGAAGCCCCGGUAAACGGCGGCCGUAACUAUAACGGUCCUAAGGUAGCGAAAUUCCUUGUCGGGUAAGUUCCGACCUGCACGAAUGGCGUAAUGAUGGCCAGGCUGUCUCCACCCGAGACUCAGUGAAAUUGAACUCGCUGUGAAGAUGCAGUGUACCCGCGGCAAGACGGAAAGACCCCGUGAACCUUUACUAUAGCUUGACACUGAACAUUGAGCCUUGAUGUGUAGGAUAGGUGGGAGGCUUAGAAGUGUGGACGCCAGUCUGCAUGGAGCCGACCUUGAAAUACCACCCUUUAAUGUUUGAUGUUCUAACGUUGACCCGUGAUCCGGGUUGCGGACAGUGUCUGGUGGGUAGUUUGACUGGGGCGGUCUCCUCCUAAAGAGUAACGGAGGAGCACGAAGGUUGGCUAAUCCUGGUCGGACAUCAGGAGGUUAGUGCAAUGGCAUAAGCCAGCUUGACUGCGAGCGUGACGGCGCGAGCAGGUGCGAAAGCAGGUCAUAGUGAUCCGGUGGUUCUGAAUGGAAGGGCCAUCGCUCAACGGAUAAAAGGUACUCCGGGGAUAACAGGCUGAUACCGCCCAAGAGUUCAUAUCGACGGCGGUGUUUGGCACCUCGAUGUCGGCUCAUCACAUCCUGGGGCUGAAGUAGGUCCCAAGGGUAUGGCUGUUCGCCAUUUAAAGUGGUACGCGAGCUGGGUUUAGAACGUCGUGAGACAGUUCGGUCCCUAUCUGCCGUGGGCGCUGGAGAACUGAGGGGGGCUGCUCCUAGUACGAGAGGACCGGAGUGGACGCAUCACUGGUGUUCGGGUUGUCAUGCCAAUGGCACUGCCCGGUAGCUAAAUGCGGAAGAGAUAAGUGCUGAAAGCAUCUAAGCACGAAACUUGCCCCGAGAUGAGUUCUCCCUGACUCCUUGAGAGUCCUGAAGGAACGUUGAAGACGACGACGUUGAUAGGCCGGGUGUGUAAGCGCAGCGAUGCGUUGAGCUAACCGGUACUAAUGAACCGUGAGGCUUAACCUU